CGAACCUGCGAAGGCAAGCGGAUCUCUUAAAGCCGUUCUCAGUUCGGACUGUAGGCUGCAACUCGCCUACACGAAGCUGGAAUCGCUAGUAAUCGCGGAUCAGCACGCCGCGGUGAAUACGUUCCCGGGCCUUGUACACACCGCCCGUCACACCAUGAGAGUCUGUAACACCCAAAGCCGGUGGGAUAACCUUUAUAGGAGUCAGCCGUCUAAGGUAGGACAGAUGAUUAGGGUGAAGUCGUAACAAGGUACC
rnacentral:rRNA from 1 species